GAGAGAAGAGGAGAGGGAAAGACACAGUUACCGAUGCAACGGAACAAAACCACUGGGAAAUGCAAGGCGCAUUAAUUAAGUGCAGCAAUGAGAUAACCUGGCUUUGAAGGGACAAUCUUGGGUUGGGCGGGGAAGGCAAUUGGAGGCUUCAUUUGCUUCUGAAUCGACGGUUGGCAAUUGGUAAGUAAUGGAGAAUCGAGAACGGCGGUGGUUCAAUAGACAAUUUGUUGGAUAAAUCAAGAAAGCAGGCUGUGGCCUUCUCACCGGUGAACCGAG
rnacentral:misc_RNA from 1 species